CAAAACUUAUUUCAGCUAACAAAAAGUAAGCACUUUCAGAGCCCGACCCUUCAAGGAGCUGCUGCUGCAGAAGGGUGCUUCUAUGAUGCUCCUUCACCCAACUGUACCCCAUAGUAAGAUGCCCAGGCUCGGGUGGGCAGAAGGAGGAAGGAGGGACCUGGGAACCACGAGUCACCCAUUUCAGUGGAGGUUGAAUACGCAGAAUCAGGAAGCACAGAAAUCCACACCCAUAUCAUAAUGAAAUUGCAGCACACCAAAGGCAAAGAGAAGAUCUUUAAUGCAGCCAAGGAAAAAGCACAGAUUACAGAGAGCAGACGCUGAGACUGAGAGUAGACUUCGUAGUGGCCACAGUGGGAGCCGGAAGCCAUGGGAUACAGUGAGUGUGACUUGGGACUCUUCACCAUCAAAUUAGAAUCAGGAGUUGAAAUUGAUGGUUGUUCAAGAAUCUGCUCACGGUAAAGGGCAUUUCCAGAUGGGAAACAGAAUUUAUCACAACACGAAACUCAGGAGAGUGAGACUCAAGGAACUCACUGAAGAACGUACUUCCAGCAGAAGGAGAGUGGUCCUGGAGAAAGGGUGUGAUUCUGAGAUAGGCAGAUGAACAGAGCAGUCAGUGAAGACGUGAGCAACGGAAAGCAACGUGGACUCUAAAGCUCUGUUAACUGGGUGACCCUGGUUAUCUGGGUUGCGGGGAGAAAAAUUAGAGCCCUCACCAACACCACACAGCAAAUAAGCUCUGAAUGUUUUAAAGCCUAGAAGAUGCUAUGGGAGAGCAUCUUCAUGGGCUCUGGAGAUGAAAGGCCUUCUUUAACAAGGUCCUAAAUGCCCAGUGAAGGAAAACAUUAAGAAAUUCAGGCCGAUCGUGCUGGCUCAUGCUUGUAAUCCCAGCACUUUGGGAGACCGAGUUGGGUGGAUCGCUUGAGCCUAGGAGUUCAAGACCAACAAGGCAAAACCCCAUCUCUACCAAAAAAGUGCAAAAAUUAGCCAAGGGUGGUGGUGCGUGCCUGCAGUUCCAGCUACUCGGGAAGCUGAGGCAGGAGGAUCACUUCAACCUGGGAGGCAGAGGCUGCAGUGAGCCGAGAUCGGGCCACUGGCACUCCAGCCUGGGUAGCAGAGUGAGAAACUGUCUCAAAAAAUAAUAAUAAAAAAAAAAUUUGCCCGGGCACAGUGGCUCAUGCCUGUAAUCCCAGCACUUUGGGAGGCCAAGGCAGGUGGAUCACGAGGUCAAGAGAUCGAGACCAUCCUGGCCAACAUGGUGAAACCCCAUCUCUACUAAAAAUACAAAAAAUUAGCUGGGCAUGGUGGUGCGCACCUGUAGUCCCAGCUACUCAGGAGGCUGAGGCAGAAGAAUCACUUGAACCCGAGAGGUGGAGGUUGCAGUGAGCCGAGAUCACACCAUUGUACUGCAGCCUGGCGACAGAGUGAGACUCCAUCUCAAAAUAAGUAAAUAAAUAAAUUAAUUAAUUAAUUAAAAAAUUAAAAUAAAAAAAAUUACCCAGACAUAGUGGCUCGAGUCUAUAGUCCUACAUAUUUGUGGGGCUGAGGUGGGUGGAUCACUUGAGCCCAGGAUGUCAAGGAUGCAGUGAGGCAUGAUCGUGUGACUGUACUGUAGUCUAAGCAACAGAGUGAGACCCUGUCUUCCCUACCGAAAAAAAAGAAAACACACAACAUUUAUCCAUUAGGUUCUCGUCUUAUAUGGACACCCAAAACAAUUGCAUAGUAACAUCAAAGAUCAUUGAUCACAGAUCACCAUAGCGGUAUAAUAAUGAUAAUGUGGCUGGGCACAGUGGCUCACGCCUGUAAUCCCGGUACUUUGGGAGGCCGAGGCAGGUGGAUCACCUGAGGUCAGGAGUUCGAGACCAGCCUGACCAACAUGGCAAAACCCCAUCUCUACUAAAAAUACAAAAUUAGCCGGGCGUGGAGGCGCAUGCCUGUAAUCCCAGCUACUCGGGAGGCUGAGCUGAAUUGCUUGAACCUAGAAGGUGGAGGUUAUGGUGAGCCAAGAUCGCACCACUGCACUCCAGCCUGGGCAACAAGAGCGAAACUCUGUCUCAAAAAAAAUAAAAAUAAAAAUAAUGAAAAUGUUUGAAAUAUUGCAUGAAUUACCAAAAUGUGACACAGAGACACAAAGUGAACACAUCCUGUUGAAAAAAUGGCUCUUGUAAGACUUGCUCAACACAGGGUUGAAAAUCUGGGUUUCUAAAAAAACACACAUAAUCACUAAUAUGUUUAUCUGUAUCCAAUAAAAGAAAAUGGCCUUAAAAUACAAUAUUAAUAUGAUCAAUAAAGCCACAGAAGUCUG